GAACUGCGAUAAGUAAUGUGAAUUGCAGAAUUCAGUGAAUCAUCGAGUCUUUGAACGCACAUUGCGCCCCCUGGCAUUCCGGGGGACAUGCCUGUCCGAGCGUCAUUGCUGCCCUUCAAGCCCGGCUUGUGUGUUGGGUCGUCGUCCCCUCCGGGGGACGGGCCCGAAAGGCAGCGGCGGCACCGCGUCCGGUCCUCGAGCGUAUGGGGCUUUGUCACCCGCUCGAUAAGGACCGGCCGGGCGCCAGCCGGCGUCUCCAACCUUUUUUUCUCAGGUUGACCUCGGAUCAGGUAGGGAUACCCGCUGAACUUAAGCA
rnacentral:misc_RNA from 1 species